rnacentral:rRNA from 1 species
UACAUAGGGGGCAAGCGUUAUCCGGAAUUAUUGGGUGUAAAGGGUGCGUAGACGGAGAAACAAGUUGGUUGUGAAAUCCCUCGGCUCAACCGAGGAACUGCAACCAAAACUAUUUCCCUUGAGUGUCGGAGAGGAAAGUGGAAUUCCUAGUGUAGCGGUGAAAUGCGUAGAUAUUAGGAGGAACACCAGUGGCGAAGGCGACUUUCUGGACGAUAACUGACGUUGAGGCACGAGAGUGUGGGGAGCAAACAGG